AUUAAGCAUAUCAAUAAGCGGAGGAAAAGAAACCAACAGGGAUUGCCUUAGUAGCGGCGAGUGAAGCGGCAAUAGCUCAAAUUUGAAAUCUGGCACCUUCGGUGUCCGAGUUGUAAUUUGAAGAAGGUAUCUUUGGUUUUGGCUCUUGUCUAUGUUCCUUGGAACAGGACGUCACAGAGGGUGAGAAUCCCGUGCGAUGAGAUGCCCAAUUCCAUGUAAAGUUCCUUCGACGAGUCGAGUUGUUUGGGAAUGCAGCUCUAAGUGGGUGGUAAAUUCCAUCUAAAGCUAAAUAUUGGCGAGAGACCGAUAGCGAACAAGUACUGUGAAGGAAAGAUGAAAAGAACUUUGAAAAGAGAGUGAAAAAGUACGUGAAAUUGUUGAAAGGGAAGGGCUUGAGAUUAGACUUGGAAUUUUCCAUUUAUGGAGCUUUCCGGGCCAGCAUCAGUUUGGAUGGCAGGAUAAUUGCGUUGGAAAGUAGCACCACUUCGGUGGUGUGUUAUAGACUUCGUCGAUACUGCCUAUCUAGACUGAGGACCGCGUCUUUGACUAGGAUGCUGGCGUAAUGAUCUUAAGCCGCCCGUCU
rnacentral:rRNA from 1 species